rnacentral:rRNA from 1 species
UACGUAGGGGCGAGCGUUGUCCGGAAUUAUUGGGCGUAAAGAGCUCGUAGGCGGCUUGGCAAGUCGGAUGUGAAAACUCCAGGCUCAACCUGGAGCCGCCAUUCGAUACUGCUAUGGCUAGAGUCCGGUAGGGGAGUGUGGAAUUCCCGGUGUAGCGGUGAAAUGCGCAGAUAUCGGGAGGAACACCGAUGGCGAAGGCAGCACUCUGGGCCGGCACUGACGCUGAGGAGGCGAAAGCGUGGGAGCGAACAGG